rnacentral:rRNA from 1 species
UACGUAGGUGGCAAGCGUUGUCCGGAUUUACUGGGCGUAAAGAGCGCGCAGGCGGUCGUCCAAGUCGCGUGUGAAAGCCCCCGGCUCAACUGGGGAGGGUCACGCGAUACUGGUCGACUCGAAGGCAGGAGAGGGUAGUGGAAUUCCCGGUGUAGUGGUGAAAUGCGUAGAUAUCGGGGAGGAACACCAGUGGCGAAAGCGGCUUCCUGGUCCAGCACCGACGUCAGGCACGAAAGCGUGGGGAGCAAACAGG